rnacentral:rRNA from 1 species
AUUGAACGCUAGCGGGAUGCUUUACACAUGCAAGUCGAACGAGUGGCGGACGGGGGAGUAAUAUAUCGGAACGUGCACAGUACCGGGGGAUACCUAAUCGAAAGCGGGGCUAACACCGAAUACUAUUGGAUCGGCCGAUAUCGGAUUAGUUAGUUGGGGGGGUAAGGGCUCACCAAGGCAACGAUCCGUAGCUGGUUUGAGAGGACGACCAGCCACACUGGGACUGAGACACGGCCCAGACUCCUACGUGAGGCAGCAGUUGGGAAUUUUGGACAAUGGGGGAAACCCUGAUCCAGCCAUCCCGCGUGUAUGAGAAGGCCUUCGGGUUGUAAAGUACUUUUGGCAGAGAAGCGGUAUCUGCAGAAUAAGCACCGGCUAACUACGUGCCAGCAGCCGCGGUAAUAC